rnacentral:rRNA from 1 species
AUGAACCCAUCCUCGGCCCCCGGCCCGGAUGGUCUCCCAGUGAAGUUCUUCCAGACUUUCUAUGAGGUGAUCAAACCUGAGGUGGUGGCCUUAUUUGAUGAGUUCUUUUUUGGAUCCAUCGACCUCGCCCGGCUGAACUUUGGGGUAAUCACCCUCAUCCCCAAAGUGUCUGGGGCCUCGGAUAUCCGACAAUUCCGACCGAUUACGGUGAUUAACAUCAUCUUCCGCAUCCUCGCGAAGGGGUACACCAUAGUGACCCCUAUCGCCGACCGGAUCACUCACCCUGACCAGUCGGCCUUCAUCCAGGGCCGUUAUAUCCUCGACGGAGUCCUAGUGUUCCACGAAGCACUCCAUGACGUUCACACCAAACACCUCAGGGCAGUCUUCCUGAAAGACUUCCACAAGGCUUAUGACACGGUUAGUUGGCCCUUCCUUCGGGAAUGUCUGCUCUGUAAGGGCUUCGACGACAGGUGGGUGACCAGGGUGAUGCAAAGUGUUCCACGAAGCACUCCAUGA